rnacentral:lncRNA from 1 species
CUUUUUUGAGCUUUUUGAACAUUUAUGAACUAAUUUCCAGCACUGUGCUUCGGUUUUAUUUGCCCGGCUGACUCGAACAAUGAAGAAAAAAGAAUAAAUUGAGCCUUUAUGGCUCGACUCGAGAGUGCUAGGAGGAGAAGUCCACCAUGGACUCGGAAGGGGUUUACUUACAUGCACACAAAGAGAGGGAAAAGAAUUAGAAAGAAAAAAAAAGGUAAAACUUCCAAUAAAUAUAUGAUCAAAUAAUUAACUCACAAUGAAGAUAAACACAUAAAUUAUUUUAACAGAUGAGAACACUACGGGUGGUGAUAUUGUAUUCAAAAUGAGAGAUAAUUGUGGAAACUAAUUAAGAAUGGGACAAGCCAUUAGAGAAAACUUCCUAACUAAACAAAAAUACAUAAUAUCAACUAAAGAGAUAAAACGAGAUCAAAUGAAUUAAACAAAUUGAUUAUUAUGCACAACUGCAUAAGGCAAGAAGGCCACGGAGGAAAAUUAUCAUUUUAAACACAUCUAGUUAUAACUCUUACUAUUAAACUUUAAGAACUUCACAACUAUAAGGAACAUUUCUAAGUUAAUGCGCAAAAUAAUUAAAUAAAAUAAUCCAACUCACUGCAAAACUAAACCAACUACACAUUUUAAAAGCUCAUGGCAUCAGGUAGCAUUCCAAAACAGUGAACGAAAGUAUAUGACAACUAACUUAAAGGACACAUGAAAGGAUAUAGAACACGUUAAGGGAAGCAAUAAUGAGUAAUCUAAUUUAAACUUGAGAGCCUAUUUAUUUAUUGAUUAUUAGCAACAUAUCAAGACUACAUUGAAGUUAAUAAACAAACCAACAAAUUUGGGGCACUCACUAAACAUGAUCAAUGCUACAGAAUUGAAGUUGGAUAACUUUAAAGGCUAGUAAUCAUCUACUCUUGCACAAUAAUAAAACCAUCAAAAUCUGGAAGUACAAUACUUAACAGAGAAAACCAAGUGUUGAAGAAGAAGAAGCUGACGAUUGGAACAUGUCAAAGGAAUAGCUCCAACACAGCUGACUGACGUGUCUACAACAAGUAUUGAUGAAGAAGGAAGUUGACGAUUGGAACAUGUCAAAGGAACAGGUCCAACGAAGCUAACUAAUGUGUCUGCAGCAAGUGUUGAUGAAGAAGGAAGUUGAAGAUUGGAACAGGUCCAAUGAAGCUGACUGAUGAGUUUACAACACUGUUGUAGAAUUAGAGUCACACUAGGAUUAGACUACUUAUAUUAAUUAGGAUUAUAUUAUGACUAGAAUUAUAUUGUGAUUAGGAUUAUAUUACGACUAGGAUUAGAUUAUUUUUUAUUAUUAUUAUUAUUAUUAUUAUUAUUAUUAUUAUUAUUAUUAUUAUUAUUAUUAUUAUUAUUAUUAUUAUUAUUAUUAUUAUUAUUAUUAUUAUUAUUAAAAGUUUUUAAUAAAAACCGAUGCCCAGUCAGUCAAGUAUAUGUUUGACAAAGACGUUAACAUUCAGGAUCUCUGUUAACGGGCGGUAAUCCGCGCGGUUAUCUUUGAUCUAGCUUGUCAACAUCCGAAAAUAAUUCGAAAAGAAAUAUAUAUAAAUUCAUAUAUUUUAAUGACUAUAUGGAAGAAAUAAAUCUUUUACCCAAGCAAAGGGUCUGUCGAAAAUCAAGAUCUCAUCGUGUUAAUUAAACCAUGCAUUCAGAGCCUAGGUUAUCAGGAAUAAGAUAAUACUUUUGCAAUAUUACUUUUACUCCUGAUAAGCCGAUGAUCGGCUAAAGUCUUAUAUCUAUGCCGGAUAACUAGCUUCUAUAUAUCUACCAUGAAAGAUCUUUUCAGAGUUCAGUGCAAAACCUAUCAGUAUUGCAGAAGAUUUUGCAGACGAAAUGGAAACCACUGCUGACUUAGAAGUCUCGUGUUUGAAUGUUGGUAUCAGAGCCUAGGAACUUUCAUGGUAAAUAUUAAAGUGAAGUAUUUCGGCAUAUGACCCUAGAAGCUAAAGGUAUUGUUAUAAAUGCCAGAGCUAUUGGUGGCGGAGUUGAUAACCUAGGAUUUGCCUUAGCCACAAACAGAGAAGAUGCUGUUUAUACCUUGGUUCUUACCAUCCUAGAGCAUUUAGAACCAACUUCUCUCUACUCUCUCUCUUGUAAACUUUCUUGUGUUUUGUACUGCAAGUUUAUAACUACGUACUUACCACUUUUCAUUAAUGUUCUUGAACGAUCUUAUAAAGAUGAGACAAGUAACAUUAUUAAAUCUAUUUAUCCUCCUCAAGCCCCUUUUAUUUUACCAAAUAAUACUGGUAUUACUUUUACUGCUUUUCAAAACUUUAUUGAAAAUGAAGUUGCUGCAGUGAGUAUCAAUGAGAUUAAUCAAAUUAUUUCUCAAAAUAAUUAUUUGGGUCUUUAUGUUAAAGUUAUUGGUGAGCAUAUCUGUUCUCUUGAUAAUAAGUUAGAUAAGCUCAUUUCUUUAAUUACUCAGAUCGAUAGUAGUCUAAAGACUAAGGAGUCUUCUCCUGAAAAGGAAUCUACGUCAAAACAGCUUGACGUACCCAUUCAAAGACCUCCCGAAAUACAUGAUUUCAUUCUGAGACCACUUCACGAUUUAGAAAGUCUUCUUGAUAAGAAGUUUUCAGAGUUCAGUGCAAAACCUAUCAGUAUUGCAGAAGAUUUUGCAGACGAAAUGGAAACCACUUUCGAUUUUAAGAAACAAGUGGAGAUGGAAGUUAAUAAGCUUCGCGGGUAUCCCAAAAGGAAUAGUAGUUAUGCUAAAGAACCUAGCAUGCAAACCUACUACUAUCAUAGACCUACCCCUCAGGAUGUCCUUAUAGAGGAAAGAGAUUGGAAUCAAACUAACACUUCAUACAGUGGAAAUGAGAUUUAUGAAUGGAACCUAGAUGGGUUAACAGAUAGGCAGUUAACAAUCUUGGUCCAUAGAAUGCUUAUGUACGCCACUAUUUGCAAGAGUGUUAAUAACACUGAUAGAACUAUUUGCAAAAUGAUUAUUGCUGGAUUUACUGGUCAAUUAAGAGGCUGGUGGGACAACUAUAUGACCCUAGAAGCUAAAGGUAUUGUUAUUAAUGCCAGAGCUAUUGGUGGCGGAGUUGAUAACCUAGGAUUUGCCUUAGCCACAAACAGAGAAGAUGCUGUUUAUACCUUGGUUCUUACCAUCCUAGAGCAUUUUAGUGGUAGAUUUACCAACCAGUAUGAAACUGUCAGAUCUCUUCUUAAUGGUCUAAGAUGUAGACAUUUGGGCGAAUUCAGAUGGUAUAAAGAUACUUAUUUAAGUCGGGUAAUGGAACUUCCCGAAAAUGGAUUAGAAUUUUGGAAAGCCAAAUUCAUAGAUGGCUUGCCUCAUUUAUUUGCAGAAAGAGUAAAGAAGACCCUAAGAGAUCCUCAAGGAAUUAUUCCCUAUAAAAAUUAUACUUACGGAAAGCUUAUUGGAGCUUGUACUCAAGAAGGCAUAAAUUUAUGCAAUGAGUUAAAACUCUCUAGACAGCUUAAGAUAGAUAAGCUGAGAGAAAGAUCUCAACUAGGAGAUUUUUGUACACAGUUUGGUUUACCAGAUACUUCUAAAGGUACCAAACACGAGACUUCUAAGUCAGAACACCAUAGAUCUCAUCGAAGAAGAGAAGGAUCCAGAAGAAGAUCUAGAGAAGAAAGAGAAGAAAGAAGAUCUUCUCGUAAGUCCCGUGGAUUUACAAAAAAUAGGUCAAAAAGAGAUCUUGAUAAGAUCAAAUGCUACAAAUGUGGAAAGUUUGGACAUAUAGCUCCAAAUUGUAAGCUAGAAAAGCUUAAAGCUGAACGGAUCAUUCAAUUAGCAGCUAGUAAAACUAGCUCAGGCGCUACCUCGCAUAGUAAUUCUGAUGAUAAAAAGGGUAAAGAUGACUUCGUUUAUUCUGCUCCUUAUUCGCUGUCUGAAGUCCAUAAUAGACUUUCAUCUAAACAAACUACUGUUAUUCGUGAUUCCUCUUUUGAUGAUUUAAAGGGAGAAAUCGAGCAUUUUGAAAAGAAGAAAUUAAAAUUUCUUAAACAAAAUCAUAUUAUUUGUGAUCACCGUCUUACGCAAAUAGAGUCUGCUAAUAGCAAGGGAAAAAACAAAGCUGAUAGCAAUGAAGAAAUUGAUGUUUUGGCUAAAACAACUGAUCCUAAACAAAAUAUGUUUUUAGGAAUGAUGCAAGUUGUUACAGCCCAUAAAUGGUAUGUUAAAUGUACUAUAUUAAUUGAUAAUACUUUUUCUAUAACUAACAUUGCUAUGAUUGAUAGUGGCGCUGAUGUGAGUUGCNNNNNNNNNNNNNNNNNNNNNNNNNNNNNNNNNNNNNNNNNNNNNNNNNNNNNNNNNNNNNNNNNNNNNNNNNNNNNNNNNNNNNNNNNNAAAACUACUCAUAUGGUUAAAUCUGCAUCUGGACAUGCUUUAGAUAUAAAGUAUAAAUUAUCUAACACUCGUAUUUGCCAAAAUAAAGUUUGUAUUCCUCACUUCUUUUUCUUGGUAAAAAAUCAGUUAUAUCCUCCUAUCAUAUUAGGAACUCCUUUUAUAAAUGCUAUUUAUCCUUUUACUAAUAUAAAUGCUAAAGGAUUUUCAGCCACUUAUAAAGAUCGUGAUAUUAGUUAUACUUUUAUCACUGAACCUGUUUCUCGUGAUAUUAAUGCUUUGAUUGAAAUGAAGCAAAAGCAUAUUAAUUAUUUACAGCUUGAAAUCUUUAGUAUGAAUAUUUUUGAUACUUUGAAAACUACUAAAGUACAGGAGAAGAUUAAAUUAAUCUCUGAACAGAUGGCCAUUGAUGUCUGUGCUGAUCACCCUAGUGCUUUCUGGAAUCGAAAAAAGCACAUCGUUACUCUUCCAUAUGAAGAUGAUUUCUCUGAGGAAAAUAUUCCUACGAAAUCUCGCCCUUGCCAAAUGAAUUCCGAACUGGUUGAAUUCUGCAAAAAGGAGAUUGAUAAUCUUUUACAGAAAGGUUUGAUAAAACCUUCUAAAUCACCUUGGUCCUGCACUGCUUUUUAUGUUAAUAAUGCAGCAGAGAAAGAACGCGGUGUCCCCAGGUUAGUUAUAAAUUAUAAACCGUUAAACAAGUUUUUAAAAUGGAUUAGGUAUCCUAUUCCAAAUAAAAGGGAUCUUUUAUCUAGAUUAUAGGACGCUAAUAUAUUUUCAAAAUUUGAUUUAAAGUCAGGAUACUGGAAAAUUCAAGUCUUUAAAGAGCAUUCGUAUAAAACUGCUUUUAAUGUCCCCUUUGGGCAAUACGAAUGGAAUGUUAUGCCAUUUGGACUGAAAAAUGCCCCAUCUGAAUUUCAAAAGAUUAUGAAUGAUAUUUUUAAUCCUUAUUUGGAUUUUAUUAUAGUCUAUAUUGAUGAUAUUCUGGUAUAUUCAAAAACUCUUGAAAUACAUAUCAAACAUUUAGACAUUUUUAAGAAAAUAGUUAUCCAAAAUGGUUUGGUGAUAUCUAAACCUAAAAUGAGUCUUUUCCAAACUGAAGUCAGGUUUUUGGGUCAUCUCAUUUGCCAGGGAAAAAUUACUCCUAUUCAGCGAUCUAUAGAAUUCGCAUCAAAAUUUCCAAACGUUAUCACUGAUAGGACUCAAUUACAAAGAUUUUUGAGAAGUUUAAAUUACAUUUCCCCCUUUUAUAAAAAUUUGUCCCGUGAUCUAGCUCCUUUAUAUGAAAGACUGAAAAAGGAGCAUAAAAAGCCUUGGACUGAUAGUCAUACGAAUUUGGUCAAAACCAUCAAAGAAAGAGUUAAGUCUUUACCUUGCUUAACUCUCGCCAAUCCUGCGUGGCCUAAAAUAGUAGAGACAGAUGCGUCCAACUUAGGUUAUGGAGGAAUUCUAAAACAAAUUAACCCUCAUGAUAAACACGAAUAUCUUAUUCGAUUUCAUUCAGGAAAAUGGAACGAUGCUCAGCGAAAAUAUGCUACGGUAGCUCACGAAAUGCUAACUAUCGUCAAAUGUGUUUUAAAAUUUCAAGAUGAUCUAUACAAUCAGAAGUUUUUAAUAAAAACUGAUGCCCAGUCAGUCAAGUAUAUGUUUGACAAAGACUUUAAACACGAUGCAUCUAAACUUAUGUUUGCAAGGUGGCAGGCACAAUUAGCCCCUUUUGAUUUUGAAAUUCUAUAUAAGAAAGGAAGUGAUAACUCUCUCCCAGACUUCUUAUCAAGAGAAUACAUUCAAAUGAGUGAAUAUAGCAGUUUUUCAGAUAGAGAUAAUGAUCUUCCCAUCUCUAUGUUUUUUACUGAAAAAAGAUUGAUUACUAUUCUAAAGGUUAUUCCUCUCGACAGAGAUACGAAAGAAAUCAUUUGCUGGAAGAUUAUAGAUGGAAUGUUAAUAGACAUGUUCCAAUCUCAAAUGAUAGAAGAAUCAAAUACUUAUUAUGACACGAAUUGGGUCUAAAACUCAUUGUUUCAUUUGCAGAAUGGAACCCCCUUGGAUAACUAAGGGUAGAGGCAGAGGCAGAGGAAGAUCAUCCUCAGUGAUCUCAUCAAGAUCGUCAUACGGAUCUUCUUCAUCAUCCAGCACUCCUAUUAUACAAAGAGGAGGAAUGAGUUUAGUUAAACUAAAUUCAAAGGCGCAAGAAAAACCGUCUUCGUCUAUACACUUGGAAGAUAUUCCAGAAAGCGACCCAUUAUAUGCUAAAUUACAAGAGUAUAUAAAUCAAAAGCAAAGUAAUACUUUUGCUGCAAUAGCCAAAGAUGACACUAUUGAUGAUAUGAAAGCCUACGAAAAGGUGGAAAAAAGAGAAAUGAUAUUUCUCCUAGAAAACUCUGAUAUACAGAGAAGAGAUGAACCUUGGAAAAUAUUCCAAAGGUAUUUACUCAAUGGAUUAUACUUCCCAGGUGAGUCAUACAAAACUCGGAAGUAUUAUGAGACUUUACUAAUAAGUACGGGUGUUGAAUUUCAACACUUCUCUGGAUAAGAAAGUAUUAUGAAACUCUACUUAUAAGCACAGGUGUGGAAUUCCAACACUUUGCAGGAUACAAUACAGCUGAGCCCGAACCUUUUCUUAAAUUAUACAAAGAAUGGGUAAAAAUUUCUCAAGAUCUCAACAGAUUAUAUCAGCAAGAACAUAUCUCUUAUCUACAGCAGAUUGAACAAAUAUGUUUCUUUAUAGAAUUCUCUGUUCCAUGGAUCCAUAAAUGGGUUCCAGAAGUGGAUUUUACAGAAGAACAAAUCCCGUGUUUAUAUCGAUCUUAUUAUAAUAACUUCUGGGAUAAGUUGAUGAAAAAAGAUACGCAAACAAAGUCGAUUUAUGGACAAGAACUAUUGGAUCAAAUUACUGCAACGAUUAAAGAUUAUAAAUCAAUUCCUAAUAAAGGAAUUAUAAUUGAUGAAUCAGUCACUGUUAAACACAUGGCUCGAAGGAUUUCAAAUCACGAUGAAGAAGAGCAGAAUAAGAUGAUUUUGGACUACCUAGAAGAGGUUAAAAAGAGUUUUCUUUCAAACUGAAGUCAGGUUUUUGGGUCAUCUCAUUUGCCAGGAGUAAAAGUAAUAUUGUAAAAGUAUUGUAAAAUAAUAAUAAUAAUAAUAAUAACUCACAGCCCUCAUAAACCAUGUAGCCACCAUGGGUAGAAAAGGGUCAUACUUUUUAAAUGAACCCUUUUCACAAUAGACUAGUGGAUCCACUUAGUAGUUCAGGUUCUAUACCUUUGGCCAGGUAUAGGAUGUGCUGGCAGCGUGAGGUAGAUCGUUGUAUCAUCACUAUAGCUCUUAUGUGAUGGUUGUCAGUUAGAAAAACUCCCACAUAAGUUAUUGUAUUUUUAUAUACAUCAGUUUAUUGUAUUUUUACAUACAUCUCAGAGUUUUAUGUAUCUUUGCAUACACACAUAAUUGACAUCAUGUUUUUAAGUAGCUUUUCCUUAUAUUGCACUUGUCUUAAAUUGCUUUAUAUUGAAAUGAGUUCAGUUAUGUUGAGUUGAGUUGAGCCAUGCAAGUUCUUCAGUUUCUUUCAGAUUCCUUUUCAAGCCUAUGUUGUUUUAACAUUCCAACUCGCAUACUCGUACAUUCAAUGUACUGAUGCAAGUUGGCAUGCAUCAUCUUAUGAUGCAGACACAUGUAACUAGGAUCGGCAUUCUGACGCAUCGUUGAUCCAGUGAGUAGUUAAGAGUCCAUUGGUGAGCCUCAUUACUUUCCGGAGGAUCUAUUUCAUUGCUUUCUAGUUUAGUUUAUUAGGAUGUUGUGGGUUCUGUCCCAACAUCCAUCUCAGUAGUUAUUGGAGGCUUCAUAGACAUUCAGAUGUUAGUCCUUUGAGUCUUUCAUUAUCAUUUCUUAUUCUCAAGACUUGGGUUGCCACUUUUGACCAAGUUGAAUGUUUAACCUUUAAGCAUUCUCAGUUAUUUCAUUAUUCAGUUCAGUUAAGUUCAUUGAUCAUUAUAGAUAUGAAUAUUGUCUUUCGUUGAGUUAAGUAAGUCAGGCCAAGGGUUCGCUUGGGGUCAGUAAUGGUCUUCGAGUGCCAGUCCCGCCCAGGGUGUAGGUUCAGGGUGUGACAUUAAUAAGCACUUAUUAGUAUGUAAUUUGAUAACAUAUUUUUAACACUUACUUGAGAUAUGGUUGAAUCUCUGGACAAUUAAGCAAAAUAUGUGUCACAGCUGAUUGCAUUUUCAUAUCAGUGAGUCCUCGUUUUCCACACUUUUUAGAUCCUCGACCAUUUUGAUUAAAAAUUGAUAUCGGUGAAAAUAAAGGAUAAAUAUCACAUUCAUCAUUGCGAUUGGGCCUGUUUCUCCUACAUGACACAUAAUCACCAAAGUAAUAAGAAUAAAAAUAACCAGUUUCUCUCCCAAUAUGGCCUUGAACAACUGAUCUUUCGAUCCUUCCCCUUUGCUUAAUUGUUUGUUUGGAACUGCCAAUUUUUUUGCAUGUUUAUAUGUAUAUAUAUGUUAAUAAAAUACUUGGUGAAUAUAUAUAACUUAGUGAAUAUUUCAAAUGGAUACCUCUCAAAUGGUUACAUCCAUCUUGUUUGAAUCAGACCUCCGAGGUGGGCCUCUUGUACAAGGUGAAUUGGAAGAUGGUCCAUCACAUCAAAGAAACCACAUGGAAGUAUCUUCUCCAACUUAGUAGUAGUAACAAGAAUAUUUUCCUCCAUCCUGUGUAAACUACUACUCUCCAACAACUUUCCAGAACACAAAUCUUUAAAAAAAAAGAAUUAUCUCUUUUCGGGUAGAUGGCUAAAGCGAUAGGAAUUAAAGUUUCCAUGAACACAUGACAAUCAUGACUUUUCAUACCUAUCAAUUUUCCUUCAUUCAUAACUGCCAGUUUUCCUAAAUUCAAAGCAUAGCCCUCUGGCAUCCUCAAAUUUUUAACCCACUCAAUAAUUUCACGUUUCUCAUCCAAUGUGAAUGAAAAGCUAGCUUUGGGCUUAACUAUUUUAUUCAUUCUGUAAUUCUUGCAGCCAUAACUCUUUUCUCCUACAAUUAUCCUUUAUGUCCAUUCUAGCUUUUGGAUUGUCUUUUGUCUUACCCUUAACAUCCAUCAUUGUGUUAAACAAAUUGUCAAAAUAAUUUUUUUUCAAUGUGCAUCACAUCAAGAUUAUGUCGUAGCAGAUUGUCCUUCCAAUACGGCAACUCCCAAAAUAUGCUUUGUUUGAUCCAAUUAUGUUCAACACCAUAUCCAGGAAGCCUAGAAGGUGAAGCUUCUGUAACUUUAGGUAAUUAAGAAGCUCUCUCCCAAAUUUGAUGCCCUGUGAGUAAUGGAGGUGGGGGGUUACUGUCAACCUUAUAUUUCCUAAAUGCAUUUUUCAUCUUUCUAAACUCAUGGUCCAUUGGCAAGAACUGGCGAUGACAAUCAAACCAUGUAUUUUUUCUGUCAUGUUUUAAAGUGAAUGCCUUAUUAUUUUCCAUGCAAUACGGACAUGCUAGCUUUCCAGCUGUCAUCCAACCAGACAACAUCCCGUAUGCAGGAAAAUCAUUAAUAGUCUACAUUAAAGAAGCACGCAUAAUGAAAUUCUGCUUAGUUGAUAUAUCAUAAGUCAAAACGCCUUCAAACCACAAUUGUUUGAACUCAUCUAUCAAUGGUUGUAAAUAGACAUCAAUCAAACUUUUUGGAUUACGGGGACCUGAAAUAACACAACUUAGAAAGAUAUAGGGACUGGUUAUGCACAUUUCAGGAGGAAGAUUAUACGGAGUAAGAAAUACCGGCCAGCAUGAAUAAGGCAAAGCAACAUUAGAGAAUGGUGUGAAGCCAUCUGCACAUAACCCCAAUCUAACAUUUCUUGGUUCACUAGCAAAAUCAGGAUAUACACUAUCAAAAUGCUUCCAUGCUUCACCAUCAGAUGGAUGAGACAAGACACCUGGCGGCCUUCUACAUUCACGAUGCCAUCUCAUAUGUGGGCUGACCUCAUCGAUGCAUACAACUUCUUUAAACUAGGAAUAAGAGGUAGAUAAUGCAUCGCCUUAACUGGGACCAUCUUUCCAGCCGGAGUCCUCUUAUAACGAACAUGUCCACAAAACUUACAAUUUUCUAAUUCACUAUCAGUCUUGUAAAACAACAUGCAGCCAUUAACACAACAAUGAAUUUUAUCAUACGUCAAUCCUAACUUGGAAACCAAACGCUUUGUCUGAUAGAAGUUCUUAGGUAUGUUAAACUUCGGAUUAACUAGUUCACCCAAAAGAUCAACCAUUGAGUCCAUAGCCGCAUAAGGAACAUUCCAAUCUGAUUUAAUAUUCAUUAAUCUAACUGCAACUGACAUGGUAGAAUGCGGACUCCCUUCACAUAAUGGACGACUAGACUCUUCUAAUUGAUCAUAGAAACGUCUUGCUUCUUCAUUAGGAACUUUAUCAAAAUAUUGUUCGAGUUCUAUCCCACCUUGAACCCCGAAAGCAUCAUUGAUCAUUUCAUGAACCCUAUCAUGUUCAACCCUAAUUUGGCCAUGUGAUGCAAGCAUAUUAUAUUCAUCCACAAGCAUCGAAUUAUAAAACAUAUCAUUCAAUUCAUCUCUUUCUUCAGGAUCGACCCAUACAAAAUAUCUAGGCUUAAAUCCAUUACGGUACAAAUGAACCAUGAUUGUAUCUGGGGUAAAAAAAUUUAAGCACUUAAAUGCACUACAAGGACACCUAACCAAUCCAUUAUUCUUGAAAAUGUCAAGUGUCUAUGUAUGUUCAAUAAAAUCUCCAACACCGUCAAUAAACCCAUGUUUCAAACCAGCACCAGUUUCAUAAUGCAUAUUAUACAUCCACAAACGAUGAUCCAUCUACAAAAUCUAGAUAUUCAAUUAUAAUAUAAAUUAAAUUUAAUAAUAAUUUUUCCACAUUAAUUAAUUGUUAAUAUAUAUUUAUAAUAAUUACUUAAUAAUUAUAUUUAGGGAUAAAGGUCCGAAAAAUAUCCCAACUUUGGUCGAAUUUGUUGUUGCGAUACUAAACUUUCAUGAGGAUCUAUUACCUCCCUAGACUAUUUAAUACCGUAUUUUACUAUUUAUAAUUUUGCAUUAUUUUUUAUGUCCACGUGGGCAAAUAUAUAUAUUUAAAAUACGGUAUUAAAUAGUCUAGGGAGGUAAUAUUUCCUCAUGAAAGUUUAGUAUCGCAACAGCAAAUUCGACCAAAGUUGGGAUAUUUUUCAAACUCUUAUCCCUUAUAUUUAUUAUUACUUAUAUACCUAAUUAAUUAGUUCAUAAAUACUACAUUUCAAAAUCUACAAAGUUCAAGUUUAAUUAAUUCAUAAAUUUUAAUUAAGUUUAAGAUUUCAAAUAAUUAAUUAUAUUUCUAAUGAAGUUCAACUUAUUAUAAAUUAAGUUGAAAGUUAUAAUUAAGUUCAAAUAUAUUAAGGUCAAUAAUAUUUUAUUAAGUACUUCAAAGUUCAAUUAUUAAGUUCUAAUUAAUUGAGGUCAUCCAGAAUUAGUUAUUAAGUUCUAAGUUCUAAGUUCAAUGUUCAAGUUCUAAAUUCAAGUUCAUAUCAAAGUUCUAAAAUUAGUUAUACAUAAAUUUCAAAUCCAAAAACAGCUAGUUAUUAUAUUCAAGUUCAAGUUCAAUAACUAAUGUCACGCCCCAGAUUCAAGGGGCGCAACUGGCUCCUAAUGCCAAAACUCAGGCUCGAGCCGACCCUACUGAACCAUUUGCUACUAGCGCAUGGCCACCACACACAGUCAAGAAAACAAACAAGUAUAUCUCGGCUUAAAAUUAAGUCAUCGGCCGGCAAGGCCUUUGUAAACAGAUCCAUAAAAGAAACAACUACUCCCAAAAGUUCAUGUAAAGAAAUAGCCAACUAGCACAGAAGUCCUAAUUGGGCCGUUGAGGCCACCUUGAUCUUUAUACCGAAACUGAAAGCAGGUAUAUCAAGACAAUGCAUCACACAACUAACAAGUUUCAGCAAACCAACAAACUAGGCCAGCAUGGCCAUAAUGUAGCUAUAAACCCCACACACUAGUCUACAAGCCUCUAAGAGUAGUAACUAUUGGCGGGACAUGGCCCCAGCCUACCCAUGAAAAUAUAUACAACAAAAGCUAACAAACUUCCUAACUCUAGCAGCUCCGGAGGAAAGGGGCUAGCCAACCGGAUAGAAGUCAAUCCUGCUGCUAAGGAGGUCUACUGGGUCAUCUGUCGGGACUUGCAAGCAUGAAUGCAACGCCCACAGGCAAUGGGGCGUCAGUACAAAAUAAUGUACAGAGUAUGGAAGACAAUAGACUAUGAGCAAGUAUCUUAAUAAACUGGAGUAAUCCAGUAAAUAAAUCAAGAAUAAGAUAAGCAUACUGACCUGCUCCUAAAUCUAAACUUAUCAAAAAUAAUAAAACAACAACCUAACCAAUCCCCCAUAAGCUCGACAGGUACAAACAGCACACAAGACCACCUACCCAGGCCCUCAUAAGCCCAGAAGGUGCCAAUCAGUCUAUAUAUAUACCCCUAUCAGUAGUCCCCUAGCCCCGUCGGCAGUCACAUAGCCCUCUUAGGCAAUAGUAUAUCCCCGUAGGCAGCACAUAGAUCUCUUAGGCAUCAAUAUAACAUAUAGGUAAUGCAUAGCCUUCUUAGGCAACAACAUGGCCCCGUAGGCAACUCAUAGCCCUUCUAGGCGUCAAUAUAGCCCUGUAGGCAACUCAUAGACCUUCUAGGCGUCAAUGUAGCCCUAUCGGCAGAACAUAGCCCUUCUAGGCAUAGAUCACAUUAUUGCAGCUAACCACAAUAGCCCAAAGUGCAACAAUAACAAUCUAACAACUAAAAACGAGCAAUUUAGCUAUAAGCAACCUAUACAAAUAGCAUCUAAGUCGUGUCCAACAUAGGGACGCUACUACUGAAUAAGAAUCCCGAUAAGAGAGGAUUAUAUCCACUCGAGCAGCCAACAAUCAACAAUAAUGGCUACAAGUAUAACAACGAUAACAACUCAAUUACAUUGCUCCUAAGCUUUAAGGAAACAUGCCGUAAGAAGAGAAUAGCCUUAACAUACCUUUUUCGCUGAAUUCAUGUAGCGUAACGACUUUUACUCAUAACUCCCUCGAUACUACAAUAAGGUAGGACCAUAAUCAACACACAAAAAUAAAAGAUACCAUGACAAUACGAUAAAAGAUAUGUAUUUCCGUCGCAAAUUGCUAUUUGCUGCUUAUAAAAGCUAGGGUCGAUGAAAGAAGGGUAGUACCUCGACCUUAAGUUCGUAAUACGUCUCAAAACCUUCAAAUAUAUCCAAACCCUUGUUGUCCCAACACUAAAGUGUGAUAUGCUACGAAAUCGAUAAAACAAAUUAUACCACGAUGAUGAGCCCAACGCGUAGAACAACUUUCGUCAAAGACUUAAGUCGAGAAAAUCUAUACUUUAGUUGAUCCUAGAAAUGGGUUUCUCUAAUUUUUCUGGUUCUUAGCUAAAAUAUGAAGAAAAGGUUCUAAGAAGAAGAUAUAUGUAAAGUUCCACCGACCUAGGACCCCACCUCACGUGCCUGCUUGCGUAGUCCCACAAAAAUGCAAAUAUCUCUCUAUUUUGAAGUUGUAUGACCAAUCGGUUUGAUGCGUUGGAAACUAGACUCGUAGACCUUCGAUUCGAUAGGUUAUGGGCCCCAUACCCAAAUUUCAGAGAAAUCUUCAAAAAGGAACUUACGAUAACUUCCGCCAACUUUUAUUUUGCCACUUACCUAAUUUCAAAACUUGAGAUGCAACACUUGAACACUUAAAAUAGGACAUACCACAUCAUUCUUAAUUUAUUACCCACCCUUCUUGUCUUUCCAUGGAGAUACGAGUAAUUUUAGACGUUUCAAAAUGUCGGGGUGUUACAGCUAAAUUCAAGUUCAUAUCUAAUUUCUAAACUUAGUUAUAUAAAAAAUUUCAAUCCAAAAAUUAGUUAUAUUCAUCAAAUUCUAAGUUCAAGCUCUAUUUCUAAAUUCAAGUUCAUAUAAUCUCUAAAAUUAGUUAUAUAUAAAAUUUUAAGCCAAGAAUAAUUAGUUAUAUUCAAGUUCUAAUUAAGUUCAACAACUUCAAGUCUAAUUAAAUUCAAGUUCAUAUCAUAUUUCUAAAAUUAGUUAUACAUAAAAUUCUAACUCAAUUAUUAAUUAGUUAUAUUCAAAUUUCAAGUUCAAGUUCUAAAUCUAACUUCAAUUCAUCAAAUUUCAAUUCAUCCUUACUUAUAACAAUCAACCAAUCCUAACUAAAAUCAAAAACCCUAAAUCAUUCACUAACUAACUAACAAUCAAUCAAACUAACAAUUAAUAAAAACAAAUUAUUCAAUACUAAUUAACAAAAUCAAAAACCCUAAAUCAUUCACUUACUAACUAACAAUCAAUAAAAAACUAAUUCAAUACACUAAUUAACAAAUUCAAUACUCAAAUUGAAAGAAAUUAAAAAUAAUUUCAUGAAACCCUAACCUUGAAUUAAAGGAAAAGGAGACAGUGGUGUCGGGGUUGGGGUCGGGUUUGGCAGCGUCGGUGUGGGGCGGCAGCGCAGUGGGCAGCGAUGACGGGCUGCGUCGGCGUCAGCAUGUAGAGAGAGGAAGAGAGAAGGAAGAGAGAUGGAAAAUUGGGGAAUUUCGCGUCUAUGCUAUCAGAUAUUUUUAAAAAACCGACGGACAUCGUCUCUUUGUUCGUCGCUUUUUUAAAAAUAUUUGACCAACAUUUUGACCAAAAAGCGAUGGACUAAGCGACAUUGUCCGUCGCUUUCGUUAAUGAUUUGACCAGUAUUUUGACCAAAAAGUGACGGACUAAGAGAUGUUGUCCGUAGCUUCUUUAAAAAAAUAUUUAAUCAAUUAAAAUUAAUAAAAAGCGACGGACGGCGUGGUUAUUUUUUAAUUAAUAAAAAAUUAUUUUUAAUAAAAAGUGACGGACAACGUCUCUAACUAUUUUUAAUAAUUAAUUAUUAAAUAUAUAUCUAUUUUACGCAAAAUUCGCGAAAUAAAGCGACGGACUAAGAGAUGAUGUCCGUCGCUUUUUGUAAAAUAAUUUUAAAACAAAUUAUUUUUAUUCAAAAGCGACGGACGGUGUGGCAAUUGACGUCGCUUUUCGGAACGACGUCGUACGUCGUUUUUUAACAGUUUUUUAGUAAUGUAAUAGCUAAGAUUCAAUUGAUUAAAAGUAAAUUUCUAAUUAUAAUUUAUAUAAUAAAUACAUUCUAAAUUUGGUUUUUCAAAAAUAUAUUAUAAUCUACAAUUUUUGCAACAUAUUAUCUUGCCCAUAAAUAUAGGAAAAAAAUAUUCUCUCUUCCUAUCUUUUUUUUUCUUCACACAGGAUAUCUACUUUUAAAUUUCUUCUUAAAUUAAUUAUUUAAUUGCAUUUUUCAUCUGAAAUUGUCUCUUGAAUAUUUUAUCACAUUUUAAAUACAUUAUAUUGAUGUAAAGAGGUGCAUUGCAGAGCAAAUCUCAAAUCAAAGUGGUACCACAGAACAACUGGCAAAUAUUUAUGCUCUCUAGUCAAACCCCCUGGCUGUCUCUGCACCCCUACCUCUUUUAUCACUGAGCGGUCAUUUAGGGGCCUUAGCUGGUGAUCCGGGCUCUUUCCCUCUCGACGAUGAGGCUUAUCCCCCAUCGUCUCACUAUUUUUUAUUAGAAAGGGCAGGCAAAGCCCGAAGGCUGCUAUCCCAAUAGGAAGGGCGAAACGAGGAGAGGAGCUGAAAGCCACUUGACCGUAAGUAGAGGGCCCAGCAAUCGGAUUGGAAAUUUGGUAGUGAGAAAUUAAAAACAAUCAUGUUAUAAUAAUAAUAAUUGUAACAACCAGUUAGUCCGUUUUGAGUACUAGAACUAUUUCAACUCUUCUUGAAAGAAUUUGAAUGGGAAUUUUGAAAAUUUGUGAUUAUUUAAUUGAUGGAUAAUUUUAGAUAACUAAUUUAAUUGAUGGUUAAUGGGCUAAAGUAAUAAUUCUUUUUUGAGGAACUUUCACAUAUAGCCACUCAAAAAUAGCCUAAUUAUUCUCCAUAGCUAUAGUUUGAUAAUUACAAUUCGUAGCUACAUGUUAUAGGGAGGAGAGAGGCGAGCGAGACUGGGAGAGAGAGGAGAGAUGCGAGCGAGAGAGGGAAAAUAGUGGGAGAGAGGUGAAUUGUAUAUGUAUAUAGGUUAGAUAAUUGUAUAUUAUACAUAUGUAUUUGUAUAUAUGGAAAGCGAGAUUGGGAGAGGGAGGAGAGAGGCGAGCGAGAGAGGGCAGAGAGUGGGAGAGAUGUGAAUAUUAUAUGUAUAUCGGUUAGAUAAUUGUAUAUUAUACAUAUGUAUUUGUAUAUACUGGUGAAUUAUACAUAUACAAAUGUGUCUAAUUAUACAAACUCGAAAUCAGCCCACGUAAUUAAUGUAUAAUGUUAGUCGCGAGUGGUAAUUAUAGCAAACCAUAGCUAUGAUGAGUAAUUAAGUAGUAUAAGUUUGUUUAACCGCGUAAUUUUCCCUUCUUUUAUUUAAUACCAUAUGUCACUUGGUCCAUAUCUAUUAAAAUAAAAAAAUUACUUACCUACACAUCAUUUAUUAUCAUAUUUUCUUAUUUUCCCUACCAUUUCAAAAAAUAUCAAAAAUCCCUUCUUUUCCUCCCAUCAUCCCCUCUUCCGGAUAUAUUAAUUUGAAAUCUCAUAACCAUGAUUUUCCUUCCUUUUUUCACGCCAAAAAUCUCGCCAUAAUUACAUCAAUUAAUCUAUUUUUAAAUUUCAAAUCUUUUCUUUUUCCAAUUAAUGAUUUCAAAUUAUUCAAGAGGUACAUUUCUUUCCAUCACUUCAAUUUUUGAUUUCUUUUAUUAUUAUUUUUUAAUUUUUUCAUCGUAAAAAAUAAAAUUACCUUCGCCCCCUGCCUCCAUUGAAAUCUUAUUAAACCUUUGCAAUUUUAGUUAAUCAUAUCGCUGUUGAAAUUUUUUCUUGAAAAAUAUUUAUCUUCUUUAAUGUAUCUACUGUUGAAAAACGUCCAAAAAAAAAGAAGAAAAAAGGUUGGAUCUGCCAUUGCACGGCCAUCACUAUCAAAGAUAAAGAUUUUUAAUGUAUCUCGUUUAUUUUGAGUCAUAAAUUAGUCUUUGUUGGUGUUAUCAUUGAUCUGAUACAUCACUGCUACAAUAACCUUUGUUUUAUGUAAUGUAUAAUGUUCAUAUUUAAGGUAAUUGAUACAUAACUCUAAUAUGUUAUUGAAUCUUCGAUUAGUGUUUAUCAUGUUCAAUAUAAAUGUACUUGAUACAUAUGUUAUGCCGUAAUUUUUCUAUCUUUUAAAAAAUCACUUUUUGAAAUGUUCUAAGUAUAAAACAAUUUGAGAAAAAAUACUUAGAAAAGAGUCGGCACUUAAUUUUUUAAAGAAAUUAAGAAAACUUAAUUUAAAAAAGGUUUAACAGAUAAACCGUUAGAAAUUUAGAGAAAAUGGGUAAGAAGUUCUUAUUUCUACUCUAAGAAGGUAUUAACACUUAAAGUAGCCGCUAACAUGCGGUUAUCCUACCACUUGACUAAAAUAAUUUGACUAAUUCUUUGGGAAAAUGAUUUAACAUAAAAAAUGAUAAUUAUAAUAUUUGAUUAACUUUGAGAAAUUAAUUAAAUAAAUGACAUAUUUUAUAUUAUUUUAUUUUAUAGAGAAAGGGAUCCAAAAUGGAACAUUUGACUCGAAAUACAAGUGAUUAGAAUAUUAAUAAAACUUAGAUUUAAUUAGAAUUUUAUUUAAAUUCAUUUUGAAAUAAUAGUUUAAAACCAAUUUAAUAAAUUAAAGCAUGAAAAUCAUUUUAAAUUAAUUGACUAACCUUUUUUGAGAAAAUGACUAAGUAAGUAUAUUUUAAAUUGAUUGAAAAAGUUGACUAACAUUUUCCAAGUUUAUUUGAGAAAAAUACUUAAACAUAAAACAUUUUAAAAUGAGUAAAAACGUGAUUUGAGUGAAAAGCGUUAAAUAACAAAUCUUUUUAAGAACAACGAUUUACCUUAAUUAAAGAUAUAAAAUUUGAUCAGUAUUUGAUUAAUAAAAUAAAUGACCACAACACAAAAUGAAUAUUUAAAGCAAACCAACACUGAGAAAAUAACUCAUCUUUUGGGGAAUCUAAUUAAGUUAAAUAAAAUAAAUUAUGGUUAGAGUUAAAUGAAAUAAGUCAAAGCAUAAUCAAAGCAAUUAAAGAAGUAAAAGAGAUGAUGAAAUUGGGCCCCUUCUUGGGCCAAUUUCGCCGCAAAUUUUAGUCUUAACCAAAUUCCCUUUUUGUAUACAUAGGCUGUAUAUCAGUGUAUAUCGGCAUGUAUAUCAGCUCUUUCCAUGUAUCUCCUGCUUUCGAACACCUGUAUUUUACCUCAUCUCUGUAGUUUCGCAUUUUUUACCUGUGUUUGCUGCACCGAACUGGUAUAUCAGAGUAUACUGGCGUAUACAACAUGUAUACAGCCUUUGAACAUUUAUGAACUAAUUUCCAGCACUGUGCUUCGGUUUUAUUUGCUCGGCUGACUCGAACAAUGAAGAAAAAAGAAUAAAUUGAGCCUUUAUUAUGGCUCGACUCGAGAGUUCUAGGAGGAGAAGUCCACCAUGGACUCAGAAGGGGUUUACAUGCACACAAAGAGAGGGAAAAGAAUUAGAAAGAAAAAAAAAAGGAAAAACUCCCAACAAAUAUAUGAUCAAAUAAUUAACUCACAAUAAAGAUAAACACGUAAAUUAUUUUAAGAGAUGAGAACACUAAGGGUGGUGAUAUUAUAUUCAAAAUGAGAGAUAAUUGUGGAAACUAAUUAAGAAAACUUCCUAACUAAACAAAAAUACAUAAUAUCAACUAAAGAGAUAAAACGAGAUCAAAGGUGAACUAAACAAAUUGAUUAUUAUGCACAACUGCAUAAGGCAAGAAGGCCACGGAGGAAAAUUAUCAUUUUAAACACAUCUAGAUAUAACUCUUACUAUUAAACUUUAAGAACUUAACAACUAUAAGGAACAUUUCUAAGUUAAUGGGCAAAAAAAAUCCAACUCACUGCAAAACUAAACCAACUACACAUUUUAAAAGCUCAUGGCAUCUGGUAGCAUUCCAAAACAGUGAACGAAAGUAUAUGACAACUAACUUUAAGGACACAUGAAAUGAUAUAGAACACAUUAAGGGAAGCAAUAACGACUAAUCUAAUUUGAACUUGAGAGACUAUUUAUUCAUUGAUUAUUAGCAACAUAUCAAGGCUACAUUGAACGUUAAUAAACAAACCAACAAAUUUGGGGCACUCACUAAACAUGAUCAAUGCUACAGAAUUGAAGUUGGAUAACUUUAAAGGCUAGUAAUCAUCUACUCUUGCACAAUAAUAAAACCAUCAAAAUCUGGAAGUACAAUACUUAACAGAUAAAACCAAGGUGGUAAAAUCUUACACUUCAACUAUUGAGCCCGUUUAAUCACAUCAAACAGAUAGUCAAGACUUAUCAUGAAAGUAGACUUUAUUUAACAUGAUCGAAUAGAAUGUAGAUGCUUGCUACGCUCACACAGUUAGGAAACAAAGUUUUCACGGAAAGGAUUAAAGGCUUUAGCAUCGAGGUUGUGGAUCAGGGAAACAAACAGAUUAUAAUAACACUACGCCUUGAAGCCAAAAAAGAACAAAACAAUAGCAAGACAUGGACAACAUUCUAGUACGUAAAAGCAGCAAUUGGAUUUAAAUAGCAUGAGAUUGAGCUAAUAUUGAUAAGAGUUUAUUAUAAUGAAUAAAAGUGACAGAGGGGACAACCAAGGCUACGAUUAAGCAGUGAAGAAAUAGAACUUAUACAUUUAGCACACUCAAAGUUGAAACCAAUCGAACAGUGGAUCAUCUCGAGCAAACUAAAAAAGUACAGCUAGCUUUAUAGAUACAAAAUCGAGCCAACAAAUCUAAGGACUAACAUACAAUACUAAAGUGACUUCAUUGAUGCUUGAAUCAUGCUUACUGCUCAAAAACUCACAGGAAAACGGUACUAAAGCAAAGACUUAAAAGUGAAGGAACCAAACGUUCUUAAUAACAAACUCCAUACCAAGUAUCAAACACAUAGCACACCAUAUCGAAAACAGAACGUAAGAGGAGGCGAAGUUACCUUCUUUGAAGCUGCAAACUAAGAACAAAACGAGCCAAAGAGAGCAACGGCUUCCUACUCCAGCUUAGACUCGAGCAAUAGAUAAGGAAAUUUGAACCAACCAUUAAUCAAAGCUUUUCUUGGAACUUAGAAUAAGAAAAUCGUUUCUAAAUUUCUUAAGUAUAAAACGACUAUUACCAAAGAACCAAACUCUAAAAUCCGUUUUUAAGCUAUUUUUCGUAUAUGACUUCAAAAUCCAAUCUUUUUCCCCCCUUCUUUUUUUUUAUCACUGAGGGUAGAGGGUUAUUUAUAGGGGAAGUUGGGGCGAUUUAGGGGGGAAAUCCGUUGAAAAAUUCAAGCAAAAAUUUGAAUUUUUUUUCUCUUUUCGAAGCAACAACGAAGGCUGUUGUGCAGGCCUGCGACUUCCACGAAGGGGGGGGGGAGGGGACGUGAGGUGAUCGAUUAGGCUGCCAGGGUUAUGGGUUUUGCAGAGUAGUUGGACGAGAUUUCUGGGUUCUCCGCGAUUUUCGCUGAGGAAGAAGACGCGUGAAG